GGAAGGAUCAUUACAAGAAUCCUAUAAAACACCUUAUAAUCGUUAAAGUCUCUGCCAACGGCGGGCCUCGGCUUGGUUAACUCCUCGCCUUGGCCUGCCGCGGCGAGGUAAACUCCUCGCCCGCGGCUUGUUCACAGCUUGGUUAACUCCUCGCCGUGGCUUGCCGCAGGCUUGGUAAACUCCUCGCCGUGGCCUGCCGCGGGCUUGGUUAACUCCUAGCCGGCGGCUGGGCCGUUGUCAAAAAACUUUGGCGGGCGCUCCUUCGGGCGCGCCCUCCACAGUUUUAUGAAAGAAUACCUCUUCAAGAAACAUGUCCACGAACAAAACCCAAUAAACUAUUUGAAAGGGCGGGCCCUGAAAAGCCUUCUCUCUCAAUAUAAUUUAUUAUUUACACGACUUCCAACAAUGGAUAUCUCGGCUCCCACUUCGAUGAAGAACGCAGCGAAAUGCGAUACGUAAUGCGAAUCGCAGAUAGCCGUGAGUCAUCGAAUCUUUGAAUGCAUCCUGCACCUGGGAAUUCUUCGGAACAACCCCAGGUACACUCGGAUGAGAGUGAUCAAAGCAUGUCAGGGGAAGGGAUGUGGCGGGGCCUUUGGUCCCGCCAUGCCCUCUUCCCUGGGGUUAUCCAACCCCGUACACUGAUUGACCGCGUCCCGCCGAACCCUUAAAUGGGAAGAAAGCUGGUCGGUCUAAAUAGUCGUCGGAUAAUCCGGACGAUCUGGAUUCUUGCCGCGCGCCUGCCUACCAAGGUGGCACUCCUCUGAUGAGGCGUACCCACCCUGACUCGGGAUUGAUGAACCCUUCGGGGAUCAACAAAAACGAGACCCAGGGAGGGAACGCCUGAUCUUUGGAAGCCUCCCAAAUCGGAAGACACGCGGGAAGAAAAAACCCAGGCCGCCCGUGACCCGACAACCCUUUCGGAGGGCGCUUAAAAUCGCCCUUCUGAAUAAAUUUGGGAGAUGCGAUGUAACCCUUUACCGGGCCACAUCUCAUCUCCCAGACUAUAAAUGCAUUCACCUCAUCUCGAGUGGGAAUACCCGCUGAAUUGAAGCAUCUUAAUAAGCGGAGGAAAAGAAAACAACCGUGAUUCCCUUAGUAACGGCGAGUGAACAGGGAAAAGCCCAAGCCUGAAAUCCCCACAGCCGCCCCGCCUGGCCUCGCGCCGGGCGGGGUUGCCUGCUGCGGGGAAUUGUGGCCUCACGACGCGCCCAAGGUCUAGUGCAGUCUCAACAGCUCCAAGACACCUGGAAAGGUGCAGCAUAGAGGGUGACACUCCCGUAGGGGCUGACUCUGAAAAGGGGAUGAGCGAGCACUUUUGGACCCACAGCGGGCGUUUUGUCGCAGAGUCGGGCUGCUUGAGAGUGCAGCCUGAAUCCGGGUGGUAUACUCCACCCAAGGCUAAAUACACGGUGGGAGACCGAUAGCGCACAAGUACCGCGAGGGAAAGAUGCAAAGAACUCUGAAUAGAGAGUUAAAAGAACUUGAAGUUGUUGGAAGAGAAGCGAUAGUCACCUGCGUAGAGCGGCGAUCGGGCAGGGGGUCUCCCCAUUUAUGGGGAUACACCGGUCUCCGGGAGGGCAACCUCCCGGUUCCACCCUGCCUCAGUUAGGUCGUCCAGCCGGUAUCAGUUGGGUGGGUGCGAUGCCCCCCGCGCGUUCGCUGCCGCCGACGCCCAGGCAACUGGGCGGCACAGGAUGGUGAGCAGACGCGCGGUGCCGGGCCCCGCGGUCCACCCGACUGAGGUAAUUCGAUGUGUCUUCUCCCCAUCCCGCCCCCGGGCGGGUGAAAGGAGACAGGGCGGGAGGCCCCGAACGGGCCCGCGCUGGGAGGAUAGAGGGGGUGUUGCUGCUCGGGCGUAAAAACCCGGGAAAGCGCACUCUGUCUGCCAUCCGGCGCGGGUCCGGUCGGGGCCCACCAGCCCGAAGGCCAAGGCACGGAGGAUACCGGUAAAGCAAGGUGCCUAUCGUCCCGUCUUGAAACACGGACCAAGGAGUUCGACAUGCAUGCGAGUGUGAGGGUGUGAAAAACCCGAACGCGAAACAAACGUGAAAAGCCUGGGACUCCGGGGCCAACCCCCCGGACGCACCAGGGACCUGCCCAGAGGGACUCGGGGGAGGGCCCCCGGCGGGCGCGGCGUGAAAAACCGCGGCCGUCGGGGACAUAAAAACCUCCCCUGCGCACCGAAACGGGCCAGAGUCAGAGCAUGCAUGUUGAGACCCGAAAGAUGGUGAACUAUGCCCGGGGAGGAUGAAGCCAGGGGAAACCCUGGUGGAAGUCCGCAGCGAUACUGACGUGCAAAUCGUUCGUCAGACCUGGGUAUAGGGGCGAAAGACCCAUCGAACCAUCUAGUAGCUGGUUCCCUC
rnacentral:misc_RNA from 1 species